GCUGUGGCGGUUCAGUGUAGAAUUCUUGCCUUGCGUGCAAGAGACGUGGGUUCAAUUCCCAGUCAAUGUU
rnacentral:tRNA from 1 species